rnacentral:rRNA from 1 species
AGCGAACGCUGGCGGCAGGCCUAACACAUGCAAGUCGAACGGACCCUUCGGGGUUAGUGGCGGACGGGUGAGUAACACGUGGGAACGUGCCUUUUGGUUCGGAAUAGCUCCUGGAAACGGGUGGUAAUGCCGAAUGUGCCCUUUGGGGGAAAGAUUUAUCGCCAUUAGAGCGGCCCGCGUCUGAUUAGCUAGUUGGUGAGGUAAAGGAUCACCAAGGCGACGAUCAGUAGCUGGUCUGAGAGGAUGACCAGCCACAUUGGGACUGAGACACGGCCCAAACUCCUACGGGAGGCAGCAGUGGGGAAUUUUGCGCAAUGGGCGAAAGCCUGACGCAGCCAUGCCGCGUGAAUGAUGAAGGUCUUAGGAUUGUAAAAUUCUUUCACCGGGGACGAUAAUGACGGUACCCGGAGAAGAAGCCCCGGCUAACUUCGUGCCAGCAGCCGCGGUAACAC